rnacentral:rRNA from 1 species
UUUGAACGUUCGAUCUCAAAUCAGGUAGGACUACCCGCUGAACUUAAGCAUAUCAAUAAGCGGAGGAAAAGAAACUAACAAGGAUUCCCCUAGUAACUGCGAGUGAAGCGGGAAGAGCUCAAAUUUAAAAUCUGGCGUGCCUCUGGUCGUCCGAGUUGUAGUCUAGAGAAGUGUUUUCCGUGCUGG